GCCAUCUCCCUCUCCCCGAUCCAGACCCCUCCCCCGCCGCCCCUAUCCCCGAUCCAGAUCCGUCCUCCUCCGAUGCCCUCCCCUCCGCUCCAUCCUCCCCUUGGACAAGAUCCGGCGCGCACGUCCCACACAUCGACCGUGCCCUCCCACCCACACAUCACCGCCGCCACCCACCGUCCCGUCUGACCACGCCGCCACCACCCACUGCCCCGUCUGAGCUCGUCACCGUUCUCCGCUCCCGGUCUCAUCCCCCCACACCCGCUGCCCCCUCCCUCUCCUCCUCCCAUCAGAAGAGAAGAGGGAUCUCAUGCGGAUCACAGCAGGGCGUCGAUCUGGACUUCCAUCUGCACGAGGGGACGCGUGGAGCAGGAGGGGCGGCCAUGGCGCCGGCAAAAGAUGGCCGCCUGCUCCGUCCGCACCCAACCUCGCGAGCGGCCGUGUGCGAGGGGACGGCGGCCAGAUGCAACGAAUUUGCACCGUCGCCAUGGGCCGUGCCAUGGAGCUCAAGACGCCCACGCUAACAGGCAUCACCAACUCGACUCGAUGCUCGUUUCGAUUUGGUGUCGUGCUGGCGACCGGGUUCGGAGCGCUCGGAUCGAAGGUGGCCGAGCACUGGUACGAGGUCUACAAGAUGGACAAGAUGGGGGCCAACCUCUGGUUCAUCUACUAGUGGGAGGACAAGGUUUCUUCUGGCUCUGAAUGUUAGGAUGGUCAAUGUCCAUGACAUCUCGCUGAACCACUACACCUGGCUUGCUCGCCGGCGCGCGCGUGCGUGCGUCGAUGCACGGCGCUUCGUCGAGCUGGCCGCACUGCGGCAAUCCCCGGAGCUGGAGCGGGAGGAGGCGACGAGAUGCUGCUGCUGCGGUUGCGUCCUCGGAGGCAGCAGCUGCCCCUCGCCGACCUUACCAACCUUCGGCGUCCGCCAUGAGCUCUGCGCAUGACCCCUUCUACAUCGUUCGGGAGGAGAUCCAGGGCUUGCGGGCUCCACAUCCAAGUCCUGGCCGUCCUCCGCAGCAAGGAGCUAGGCCAAGGGAGCAAACAGCGCCACUGGUUCCUUCAAGGAUGUGUGCUGCUGGUCGAGUCUUGUGGAGAAGCAAGGCGAAUCGGGCAUUGUCUCAAUUGUUCCGCUGUGGAGCUCCAAGCCUAGGAAAUUUCAAGUUCGAAGCGGCGUGUAGCCCUACGCAGCAAAGAUUUGUUCUGUUUGACUGUAAUAAACUGUAAAUAUUAUAGUACUAUAAUAGUAGGCAUAUCUGGGUUGUAAUAGACUAUGCACAGAUUGUAAUAGACUAUGUACAGGAGCUCCAGGCCUAAGAAACUCUACAUUUUUCUGUUCUAUUUAAAAUAUUGAUUAUUUGUGUGA